rnacentral:rRNA from 1 species
UAUAAUUGUCAGCUAAGUGGCGUACGGGUGAGUAAUGUAUAGAUAACCUGCCCUUAAGAAAGGAAUAACAGUUGGAAACGACUGCUAAUGCCCUAUAUGCCUUUAAUACAUAAGUAUGCAAGGGAAACGCUUUAGUGCUUAAGGAUGGGUCUGUAUGGUAUCAGCUUGUUGGUGAGGUAAUGGCUCACCAAGGCUAUGACGCCUAACUGGUUUGAGAGGAUGAUCAGUCACACUGGAACUGAGACACGGUCCAGACUCCUACGGGAGGCAGCAGUGGGGAAUAUUGCACAAUGGACGAAAGUCUGAUGCAGCAACGCCGCGUGGAGGAUGACACAUUUCGGUGCGUAAACUCCUUUUAUAUAGGAAGAUAAUGACGGUACUAUAUGAAUAAGCACCGGCUAACUCCGUGCCAGCAGCCGCGGUAAUACGGAGGGUGCAAGCGUUACUCGGAAUCACUGGGCGUAAAGAGCGUGUAGGCGGGUAUAUAAGUCAGAAGUGAAAUCCAAUAGCUCAACUAUUGAACUGCUUUUGAAACUGUAUACCUAGAAUGUGGGAGAGGUAGAUGGAAUUUCUGGUGUAGGGGUAAAAUCCGUAGAGAUCAGAAGGAAUACCGAUUGCGAAGGCGAUCUACUGGAACAUUAUUGACGCUGAGACGCGAAAGCGUGGGGAGCAAACAGGAUUAGAUACCCUGGUAGUCCACGCCCUAAACGAUGUACACUAGUUGUUGUGAGGCUCGACCUUGCAGUAAUGCAGUUAACACAUUAAGUGUACCGCCUGGGGAGUACGGUCGCAAGAUUAAAA